GCCCAGCAGAACGGGGCCUGCGCCAGGCCCUGGUGGAGCUCUGUUUAAAAUGCAGGCGAGUGUCUGCCUCCGGCUGCAGACCCGCCAGGACUGGGCGCCUGGAUUCCAGCAGCGGCCUCGGGAGCUGUCCAGGGCUGGCCAGGACUCCCUCCCUGGGCGUCGGACCCGACCAGGAACAGGGGGAAGAGGGUGCGGGGGCCGGUGCAGCCACAGACGCGGCACCCCCAGCACCUCCCCUUCUUCCAGGGCCUGCCGCAAAUCUGAUCUCCAAGGCCAGCUCCGAAGCUCUGCGCUGGGAUUUGCAAAUCCGAUGGACCCUCUGCUGACCACGCUGCACCUGGACGCCGCUCCCGCAGUCCCGCGGAAGUUCCCACGCUGCCCCUUUCAAUCAGUUGGUGGCUUUCUUUGUGCAGCGUGACGUCGUUUCAGGUGGGCGACUGCUCUAUGCCCCCAGCCUGGUCCCGUGGACAGAGCCGAUUCCGGAACCGUGAGAACAUGCCAGAGCUCCGCCGCGUGGUCCUUGGUGAGGUCUGGCUGUGUCCCCAAGUUCACGUGCUGGACCUCGGUCCCCGAGUCAGCGUUGGGAGGCAGGGCUCUGUGCUUCCCAGUGGUUCAGGUUGUCACCACAGGAGUGAGCCAGGUGUCCUGAGUAGAUCUGUUGUCAAAGGAAGCUUCUGCCUUCUUGAGCCAAAGAACUUUCUGUUCUUUAUGAAGUACCCAGCCUCGGGUAUUCUAUUAUAGCAGCAGAAAAUGGAUCGACGAUCCUCAAGGAGCACCUGUUGAAUAAUGAUGGAGUUUGUUUCCCAUGCUGCCUAACUGCCCGUCCCCUGGGCACUGAGGGUUGAGCCAGAGUCUCGGCGUGCUGGGCCAGUGCUGUGCCCCUGAGCUACAUUCUUAGCCCCACUCCCUUUGCUUUGAAACAGGUCUCCUUACGUUGCCUAGGCUGGCCUCAAACGUGUGGUGAUCCUCCUGCCUCAGCCUCUGGAGUAGCUGGGAUUACAGGUGUGAACCACGGGGCCAACCUUUGUCUAAUCUUAAGAAGCUCCACUCUCCUCCCAGGAAGACGCCGCUUAGGUCAACCUUAACUCUCUAAUUUCCACAUUCAGAACUCAUCCCUCAAGUUGCUUUUCCAUAUUGUCAAAGAUCCUUAAGAUGCAAUGGCAGAAACCCAACUCGAGUUCAGGCAAAACAGGGAAUGCAUUGGUGCAUCUAAGUAAAAUGUCUAUUUAGCUUCAGGCACAGAUGGAUCCAGGUGCUCAAAGGGACUGCCUCUUUGUCCAGGGUCUGUCUUGGAAGGCUGAAUCGGAUGGGCCAGGACGGGGACAGGCUCAGUCACCGACUGAAUGACCAGGCCUGAUCCGGGGUCUCCCGCUAGCAAGCAAGGUUUUUAUGCGGCACUGAGAAUGGCACCCAGGCCGCACCCGCCGCCGGGCAGACGCUCUACCGCUGAGCCCCAGCCCGUCUGGGUUUUUAAAUGGCUGUGGGACGGCCCUGGUGACAGAGAACGACCCUGCGGGGCGUCUUCCAGGGGACACCGAGCCCUGCCAUGUGAAGUCGCCGACUCCUCCCAGCCCCACUGCGAGGUUGGCCCGUCCUUCUUUCCAUUUCGUAGAAAAGGAAACCGAGACCAGAGAGGGGAAGAAAGCUGCCCGCGGUCACAGAGCGAGGAGGAAACAGGGCACCCGCUAGGGCUCGGGGUGCGACCAGGGGGGCCGCGGAGAAGCGCAAGGACCCCACAGCUCCCUGUCCCUGCGGUCCCCUCCGGGGGCGUCGGCGUGGCUCUGUCCCUGAGGUCCCCGCCCAGCCUCCGCCGCGGGGGUCCCCUGCGCCCAGCUCCCGCCGCGUGGCCCCUGGAGUCCGCGGCUCCCCGCGCCCCCGCUGAGUCCCCGAUGCAGCCGCGCGGCCUCCGGGUGGCACUUUGCAGACGCUUCCUGGGCCGCAGCGAGACUCGACUGUGUCGCCAGAGCCGGAAACAGUGCUGCGAGUGGCGGGCGAAGCUCGGUCCCCGGCCCAGGGCGCUGGGGUCCGCCGCAGGUCGCAGCCACCUCCCCUGGGGACGGCCGCCCCGGCCUUCCCGGGGCAGAGGCCGCGGGACUCCACGCAGGGCCUCCCACUCGGGGCUGCGGGGUCGCCCUCUCGGUUCCCCCUUAGCCCCCCAUCAGCCCGGGACGGCUUAGUGGUGACAGUGACGGAGAGGGACCUGCCCAGCCUUCGGCCUGCUCUGCGCUCCAGGAGCCCCGCAGAGCGCGCAGGGCCCGGUGGGAGGAAAACCCAGGGGGACUUCGCGGAGGAGCCGGCCCGCGGGGGAGCCUCCACUCGCUGCCUCCCGCUUCCUCUCCUUCUUAAAAAAAAGGAAAAAGAAAGAAGGAGAAACCUCCUCAGAAGACAAAUAAAGAUUGACAGGAGGUGCGA